CCUACGGGCGGCUGCAGUGGGGAAUAUUGCACAAUGGGCGCAAGCCUGAUGCAGCCAUGCCGCGUGUGUGAAGAAGGCCUUCGGGUUGUAAAGCACUUUCAGCGGGGAGGAAGGCGGUGAGGUUAAUAACCUCAUCGAUUGACGUUACCCGCAGAAGAAGCACCGGCUAACUCCGCGCCAGCAGCCGCGGUAAUACGGAGGGUGCAAGCGUUAAUCGGAAUUACUGGGCGUAAAGCGCACGCAGGCGGUCUGUCAAGUCGGAUGUGAAAUCCCCGGGCUCAACCUGGGAACUGCAUUCGAAACUGGCAGGCUAGAGUCUUGUAGAGGGGGGUAGAAUUCCAGGUGUAGCGGUGAAAUGCGUAGAGAUCUGGAGGAAUACCGGUGGCGAAGGCGGCCCCCUGGACAAAGACUGACGCUCAGGUGCGAAAGCGUGGGGAGCAAACAGGAUUAGAUACCCCAGUAGUC
rnacentral:rRNA from 1 species